UAUCCUGGCUCAGGAUGAACGCUAGCGGCAGGCUUAACACAUGCAAGUCAGGGGCAGCGAGUGAUUGCUUGCAAUCUAUGUCGGCGACCGGCGCACGGGUGCGUAACGCGUAUGCAACCUACCCAUUACAGGGGGAUAACACUGAGAAAUCGGUACUAAUACCCCAUAACAUCCAGGGAGGCAUCUUCUUGGGUUGAAAACUCCGGUGGUAAUGGAUGGGCAUGCGUUGUAUUAGUUAGUUGGUGGGGUAACGGCUCACCAAGACUACGAUACAUAGGGGGACUGAGAGGUUAACCCCCACAUUGGUACUGAGACACGGACCAAACUCCUACGGGAGGCAGCAGUGAGGAAUAUUGGUCAAUGGACGCAAGUCUGAACCAGCCAUGCCGCGUGCAGGAAGACGGCUCUAUGAGUUGUAAACUGCUUUUGUACGAGGGUAAACGCAGAUACGUGUAUCUGUCUGAAAGUAUCGUACGAAUAAGGAUCGGCUAACUCCGUG
rnacentral:rRNA from 1 species